CUAUCCUUUUCAGAUUUAAGUAGUCCAGUUCUAUCUAAAAAAGAAAAAAAAAAAAUGAAAUUCUGUCCUCCAUGCAGUUGAAAGCUCUGCCUCUCCCCAGGAGGAGCCUGAGUGAGGGCUUCCAGACCAGUGUUGGAGCAGGGACACGACUUCCGUUCUUAAAGUUUUUUCUUUAUGUCAACUCCUCCCCUAUUUGCUCUUCUGCUUCAGGCUCCUCUGGCUGGAGAGGAGAAGACAAAAUAUUGCUUUCCUGGCUCUGCUUAUAAAUCUUGACUGUUCAUUUCAUGGUCUCUGCCAGGCAGCUCUCUCUCAUGGGGGGUUUUUGUGGGUUCUUAAGGAGCACUCUCCACUCUCAGUCUCUUGCAUCCAUGCUGCAGACCCCUAUCUUGGAACAUAUAGAUAUUCCUCAGCUCCUGUCCAGGGAUUUCCUCUGGAGUCCUCUCAUGCCAGCAAGAAACCCUCAAGGACAGGAUCCUUUCAUAAAGGACCUAUCCCAGUUCUCUUUGGCAGUGUCUACUUGGCUUUCAGGGAAAUACAUAUGCUUGUUCUACCAAACUCUGGAAAUGCAUAUCAUUCACACAGCUUUUUUCUCUCCUUGUUUUCAGGCAAGAAUUAUACACUGGUCUUCAUGUUUCCCAUAUUCCACGGGACAUAUGCCAAAUUUUCCAAAGGCCUCUUUCAUUGCAUAUGUUCAUCGUCCUAUGGGGAUGUCUUAGUCCGUUCAGCCUGCUAUAACAAAACACCAUGAAUUAGUGGCUUAUAAGCAACAGGAAGCCUUUCCAUUAUUACUGAUGACCGACACAAGCAGAAAAAUGGCCACGAUUGUACAACAUCCAAAAUAUAUUUGCAGUAAAUUCUGGAAGAUUUGGCCUCAUCCAUCAAUUGAAUAGGUUGUCCUAAAUACACAAGAUCAUUCAACUCACAGCAUCUGUGUAGCAGUUGACAAGAUAUCAUUGUUCAGUGGGACAUUUAAACCUUGUCCUUCAGCAAAGUGAAAUGAGAGAAAUGUUCUCCUCAAAAGUCAAAAUCUAAAAAGCAAAAUUUGACUGUCAAAUGGUCAAGUGUGUUAAAGGUGAAAAAUAAAGCUGCUGAAACACUUAGGUCUUUUUUUAGACUCUUGUUUCCCUGGCACGUGGAAUCUUUCUGAGACAGGGCUCAUUUUCAGUCACUGUUUAUAAUUCUUUGCUCACCUACACAUAAGCUCUGAACUAAUAACAUUAAGGUCAUGUUAACAAAUUUAUACAGGUUUCUAAUCACUGUGUGGUUGGUUAUUAGUUUGGGGUAUAUUUUAAUGACUAGAUCUUUAAACCUUGUGUUGCUUUUUACCAGUUCCGAGCUCAGAGAUAUGUGUUACAGAAUAAAUGGGAAUUUAGAAUGAAAGAUCAAUAUGAACUUAAUUUAAUUCAAUGCUGAAAAUAUUACUUUUAUUAAUUAUUCUUUUUCUAGGAUUUAGCCAACCCACACCUAUAAUAA